UGCAGCCCCGGGUGUCUGCUCCCUGAUGCAGCGCUCGCGCAACCGCCUGCGCCGUCUUCCCGCAGAAAGAGAGGCGCCAAGAUCACUGGAAGGGAGCGCAAGGCGAUGAGAGUCCUGCCGGUGGUAGUUGGUGGGUUUCCGCCCUGGGACAAGAGCUGAUAGAGGGAGGGGUCCCGGGAGCCGAGGAGGAAAGGGGGAAGGGUCCAGUUUGGAAGGGUGAAAGGUGGGGGACGGGGGUUCCUGGUUGAGAGACCUCGAGUGCAGGUGUCCUGGGUGAGGGACCUUGAGUGCAGGUGUAUAGGCUCACGCCGCCCACCCCCAGGGGCCUUCCUGAUGUGUUGGACGCCUUUCUUCGUGGUGCACAUCACACGGGCGCUGUGUCCGGCUUGUUUCGUGUCCCCACGCCUGGUCAGUGCUGUCACCUGGCUGGGCUAUGUCAACAGUGCCCUCAACCCCAUCAUCUACACCAUCUUCAAUGCCGAGUUUCGAAGUGUCUUCCGCAAGACUCUUCGUCUCCGCUGCUGAAAGAACCGCUGAUGUCUUGAGGUCAAGGGGUUCCAAGCCUGUGUGCAGAGUGCGCUGGCGCGCUUUCGUUCGUCUGAUUAAAUGAAGUCUUUCCU
rnacentral:lncRNA from 1 species